rnacentral:rRNA from 1 species
CCCUCCGGGGUGCGGGAAAACCAUUCACUGCUCGGGCUGCACUAUCCGCAUGGCGAUCAAGAAAACCAUGGAAACGGGGCGCGGCGUUGUCCGUCUGCCGGCAACCCUGCAUCAGGACAGCGCCGACGUGCGGCUCUUGAUCUCGACGGAAAAAGUGGGCGCGGUGGUUCUUCUCAGAAUCGAAGAGCUCACCCCUAAAUGAAAAACGCGCUGAUGCCUGUUUAUCGUACGCCCGACUCGUCGUAUCUCAUCCCACGUGGCACUGCGUCCUGAAGUUUAAAAGUGUAUUCUCCAUGAAAAUCCGAGGCCCGCUUGCCCCGACGGUGACAACGAACGGGUUGUUCAGAUUGAAUCGGCAAUGAAAAAGACAGACGACUUCAUCUUUGAAUUGGCGGGGGGGC